rnacentral:lncRNA from 1 species
UUUAUUAUUUAGUCAAAUUGUUCAUGUUCAUUGGCAUAUAAGAUAUCAAAUCUGUAAAAUAGAACCAUCAUUUAGUUUGAAGGUCGGAAUCUGAAGAAAUUAGUGUGUGAGAUGAGUACCUGAAUGUGGAAAAGACAAUGGACCUUCAACAACAUUUUAUGACGUGUUUAAUUGAUUUAUUUUUUAUUUGUAAUAUCAAGCAAUGGAUUGAUCUAAC